GGAAUAUUGCGCAAUGGAGGAAACUCUGACGCAUUGACGCCGCGUGCAGGAUGAAGGUUUUCGGAUUGUAAACUGCUUUAGAUAGGGAAGAAACAAAUGACGGUACCUAUAGAAUAAGCUCCGGCUAACUACGUGCCAGCAGCCGCGGUAAUACGUAGGGAGCAAGCGUUAUCCGGAUUUAUUGGGUGUAAAGGGUGCGUAGACGGGUUAGCAAGUUAGUAGUGAAAUCCCUCGGCUUAACUGAGGAACUGCUACUAAAACUGUUAAUCUUGAGUGCUGGAGGGGAAAGUGGAAUUCCUAGUGUAGCGGUGAAAUGCGUAGAUAUUAGGAAGAACACCGGUGGCGAAGGCGACUUUCUGGACAGUAACUGACGUUGAGGCACGAAAGUGUGGGGAGCAAACA
rnacentral:rRNA from 1 species